CAGAGGUGCCAAGCGUUAGGCGGAAUCACUGGGCUUAAAGCGCGCGUAGGCGGACGUUUAAGUGUCUUGUGAAAUCCCACGGCUCAACCGUGGAACUGCUGGGCAUACUGGACGUCUCGAGGCACUCAGGGGCGAGCGGAACAAGUGGUGGAGCGGUGAAAUGCGUAGAUAUCACUUGGAACGCCAAUGGUGAAGACAGCUCGCUGGGGGUGUCCUGACGCUGAGGCGCGAAAGCCAGGGGAGCGAACGGGAUUAGAUACCCCGGUAGUCCUGGCCCUAAACGAUGUCCCACUAGAUCAUGGCUCCUCUGACGGAGUCAUGGUCGGAGCAAAAGUGUUAAGUGGACCGCCUGGGAAGGUACGGUCGCAAGGCUA
rnacentral:rRNA from 1 species